rnacentral:piRNA from 1 species
UCUGGAUGGCCUGUUAAGGAAUGGCAAAGG